rnacentral:rRNA from 1 species
ACGGAAGGCAGCAGUGGGGAAUAUUGGGCAAUGGGCGAAAGCCUGACCCAGCAACGCCGCGUGAAGGAAGAAGGCCUUCGGGUUGUAAACUUCUUUUACCAGGGACGAAGGACGUGACGGUACCUGGAGAAAAAGCAACGGCUAACUACGUGCCAGCAGCCGCGGUAAUACGUAGGUUGCAAGCGUUGUCCGGAUUUACUGGGUGUAAAGGGCGUGUAGGCGGAGCUGCAAGUCAGAUGUGAAAUCCCGGGGCUCAACCCCGGAACUGCAUUUGAAACUGUAGCCCUUGAGUAUCGGAGAGGCAAGCGGAAUUCCUAGUGUAGCGGUGAAAUGCGUAGAUAUUCGGAGGAACACCAGUGGCGAAGGCGGCUUACUGGGCUCUAACUGACGCUGAGGCACGAAAGUGUGGGUAGCAAACAGGAUUAGAUACCCUGGUA